rnacentral:rRNA from 1 species
CCUACGGGAGGCAGCAGUGGGGAAUAUUGCGCAAUGGGCGAAAGCCUGACGCAGCGACGCCGCGUGAGGGAUGAAGGUCUUCGGAUCGUAAACCUCUGUCAGCAGGGAAGAACGGUCACUGUGCUAAUCAGCAGUGAAUUGACGGUACCUGCAAAGGAAGCACCGGCUAACUCCGUGCCAGCAGCCGCGGUAAUACGGAGGGUGCGAGCGUUAAUCGGAAUUACUGGGCGUAAAGCGCUCGUAGGCGGUAUGUCAAGUCAAGGGUGAAAUCCCCGCGCUCAACGUGGGAACUGCCUUUGAAACUGGCAAACUGGAGUGUGUGAGAGGAGAGUGGAAUUCCAGGUGUAGGAGUGAAAGCCGUAGAUAUCUGGAGGAACAUCAGUGUCGAAGGCGACUAUCUGGCACAUAACUGACGCUGAGGAGCGAAAGCGUGGGUAGCAAACAGGAUUAGAUACCCGGGUAGUC